GGGGACGACAUGGCUUCGACGCGGUCGGUUCGUGCGGGUAGCUGCGAGUCGAGGUUCCGGAGGCCUCGUUAAACCCCGGAAAAACCAUACGUGCGGACUCUCACGAGUACGCCCUCGCCGCUUAGUUAGUAGCUAAGCGCGAGGUUUCGGCCCCGGCCAGCCUGCCGCCGGGAUCUGCCGGAAUCAGAAUGCAGGCUCGCCCGGAGAGGUUCGCCUCCACCGAACCGGGGACUCCCAAGUGAGGCUGGUCCCCCGCAACCCCGCCGGCGAGGCGAGCGGGGGACGAGAUCAGAGCGCCGGCUACGCUCGUAGACGCUGCCCUUCACGCGAUUGCGGACGCGGGUUCGAUUCCCGCCGUCUCCACUU
rnacentral:tmRNA from 1 species